UACGUAGGGGGCAAGCGUUGUCCGGAUUUACUGGGUUUAAAGGGUGCGUAGGUGGAUAAUUAAGUCAGUGGUGAAAUCUUCAGGCUUAACCUGGAAACUGCCAUUGAUACUAUUUGUCUUGAAUACUUUGGAGGUAAGCGGAAUAUGUCAUGUAGCGGUGAAAUGCUUAGAUAUGACAUAGAACACCAAUUGCGAAGGCAGCUUACUACACAGUAAUUGACACUGAGGCACGAAAGCGUGGGGAUCAAACAGG
rnacentral:rRNA from 1 species